rnacentral:lncRNA from 10 species
AAACACCCAACCGCGCAGCCCACGCUGCGGGGCCACGACUUGGCCGGAUUUAUGUUCAUGGCUGAGGAUGCCAUGGGCCGAGUAAGAAGGAGAACCGCCACCCAACCACGCAGCCAAGAGCAACCCAGGGAUCCCUCCUCUGCUUGCUCCCCUCCCCCACCCCUGCUGUACCUUCUGCGCAGCCAUCUCGGUAACGGGCGUCAGGGGCGCUCGGCGGCCUGCUGUCCAAGCUGGGGUCAGGAGCCUGGCGGUAGCAAAGAGCAUCACCGAAAGGAAGCUGGUAGGCUAGCGAGGCCAGCCCCAAAGACCCACAGAUACACGCGCUGCUCCGAACUCGCGGGCCCGCGGCGUCCACUAAUGAGAUGAACCUGGGCGCGCAGCGGCUGGACCUCAGCUGCUAGGGCGCCGCCAAGGCCCUGCUGGACACCUUCUGGUACCUGGGCCUCGUGUAUUACACCUGUGGCUGCCGCCGAGGCGCGGUUCAAUUUGAAGUCUGAGCCCCUACAGGCCCGUGAAUCCUGGAUUACAACUGCAGUUUGUGCAAGAAGCAGCAGCACCUGCACUUCCACUUAGCAACCUCCGGCUUCACGCUCCUCCAGGGCGCAGAGAGCAUCAAAGCAUUAUCACCGACCCAACACACACCGGCGCUGCGUAGUUUCUGCAGCAGGUGUGGGGUGAAGAGUUGCCACACAGCUGUCUGACACCGGGUGUACGGCGUCACCCCUCACUUCCUGGACAAGGCAACAUUUUCCUAAAGGUAAAGACCAUGAACAUGUAGAGGCCCCCUUACUCUCAUGCUAGUCCGCAUUCAGCCGGAAGCAAUUCAGCAAAUUUGCCAUUUAAGUGACGCCCUGGAUCUGUCUUUCAGAGUAGUGGCUUACCCUGCAGCCUCAUUUCUCUGAUAAGUAUUUUUUUAAAGCCAUUGAUUCAGUUUGUUCAUCUUUUUCUUGUUGGAAGAAGGGGGUGGGGUGACAAUUUCCAGCUUCUUUACAUGAAAGAGCUGAAACCAGAAGUCUCGCUUGUGACCAUUUUUGCAAUAUACUACAAUCACUAUAAGCCUAUGAUUUAGAAAUAUCAUGGUAAAUGCCUGAGAAGCAGAAAAAAUAGUUGAAAGAAGUUUUCUCAGGGAGCCAGAGCAGGAGUGGGGGCGAGUAUGGAUUUAGAUUCAAAUGAUUUCUGGUUUCAUUAAAGGCUAGUGUUAUUCUUUAAGAACUUUUAAGAUCAUGUAUGUAUAUUAUUUUGAGAAAAUUAAAGAAUAAGUGAUGCAUUUUAUGUAGAAAUAAUCUAUAUAAAUUCUACAUAGAAAAAUACGUAGAAAUACCAAGUUUAAUUUCAAGAUUAAAUAAAUGCUCAAAAAUACAUACAAUUCCUAAAACAGUUAUUACCACUUACUUGUUAAUGUUAGUUGUGACUGUUUAUAAAUUAACGUGCACAUUUUACUCUUGAUCCAAAUGCUACUGUUUGAACAUUAAUUGGCUUAAGUAAUAAUUUUUAAAUUGUACUUCACAAAAUUUAGAGGAAACAAUGCAAGGGAAGGGACUAUAUUCCCAUUUCCCUGAUGAAGACACUAAAGCUUAAAAGAUUAGGUAACUUGCUGAAAGUCAUGCACUAAGUAAGUGGUUGACUGGCACAGUCUCACAAAUCCAUCUGCUGUUAUGUAUACCUCUCUCCCUCUACACAUUUUUGAAUAGCCAUGCCUUUAUCAGAAAAAAUGGUGUUACUCUUCCACUAGGAUUGGGAACCAAAAUUACUGAUAAAAGUACAAGGAGAGUUGAAUACGAUCUUUCAGUUCUUUUCAAGAAUCACAAAUCCCUAAGCCAAUAAAAAAGUUUAGAAGCUAGAAGCAAAGACAGAGAUCUUCCAAAUUUGUUUAAUGAAGGAAGUCUAAACUCUGAUUCCAAAACCUGGCAAAGAUAGUUCACUACACACAAAGAAAGAUGUGGAUCUCUCUCACUUAUUAACUUAUAUUUAAUUUUUUAUUAAUAAAAUUUGGGUCCAUAAAAUUAAACUGUAUAUAAAAAUCUAUCAUAUCCUGGUAGUUUCCUAGUCAUGAGAGCAUGAUGUAAUAUUAGGAAAUAUUUUAAUUAACCCUCCACAGUAUAUAAAAAUCCAUCAUAUCCUGGUAGUUUUCUAGUCAUGAGAGCAUGGUGUAAUAUUAAGAAAUAUUUUAAUUAACCCAUUAUAUCAAUAGGUCAAAGGAGAAAAAUCCUAUCAUCUGAGGUGCUGAACAAAGAAUUCAAUAAAUUCAAUCAAUC